AUGUGUGGACAUUACUGUCAAUCACCUGAGAAAGUGGUGACUCUUAGGACCAGGGAAAAUGUGAGUGCUUUUGUGCUCCUGUUUGCACUCUGCUCUCCAGAUGCUGACAGUGCUUCCAGAAGCACAGCAAGAACAUGUCUGCUCCAUGGGCUUCUGGUUUUCUGUCUGCUCACACUGCUCAUGCCACCACUGCCAUCCCCACUUGCAAGCCAGAAGGCUGCGAAGGGAGAUAAAGCAGGGGCGCGCUACGAGGACAAACAGCUCAGCAUCCAACAAACCUCAAAAUGUUUCUUUUUUUGUUUUCAAGACUGGUUGCUAUUUCCUCCGCGACGCUUGUUUAUUGACGCGCUGACUCAUCUCGAGGCCAGCGCCCCGCUUCCCCGGCCCAGAGAUGGGCUCGCACACCUGCCAAGUGCUGUCGGGGCGGGAGAUAACAGCCAGCGACAACAAUAGUCUUCCUCAGUGCGCCGGCCAAGAGCACUUUUGGCACCGGGGGCUGAGAAUAACUUAUCAUCAGUGCCCCGAAAGCUCUGAAGUUCUGGAAGCCCGGCGUGGUUGUUUGCCAGACAGAGAUAACAGGCAGGAUGCGACGGAGAGCCAGAGGCACUUGGGAAGUCAGGGCUACACCUGGCAGCCGCUGAAAAGGAAAAGCAGCCAGUGAGCACAUGGUUUCCUGGUUGCCUGGUCCUGGCUGUCAACACCAGCCAACGGUCUCAGGUUAGCCCAAAGGACUGACUUGAUUGCAGAGCUGGGCUAAAAAGAAAAAAAAAAAAUUUAAUGGGUUAUGUUGCAAGGAGGAAUUUCCAGAGAUGUGAUUAAAAAAAUAAUAAUAAUGCAAGCAAUUCAUCUUGGAGAGAGAAUCUGUUCAUUGGCAGCUGCUCUGGUUAAAAAACACAUGAUUGUGUGGCAAGGUGAGGGUUCGGUUGUCUUAUAAAUCGCCCUCUCAAUGAGUGACCCAUCCUUCAUUCUUUUUAUUUAUUUAAAUUCAAUUAGCCAACACCUAGUACAGCGUUAGUUUCAGAUGUAGUGUUCAGUGAUUCCUCAGUUACUUAUAGCACCCAGUGCUCAUCCCAUCAUGUGCCCUCUUUAAUGCCUAUCACCCAGUGACCCCAUCCCCCCACUCCCCUCCCCUCCAGCAACCCUCAGUUUGUUUCCCAUAGUUAAGAG
rnacentral:lncRNA from 1 species